CGGCCGUGUACACUGAUCAAUACCUGCAGAAGUGAAACGAUGCAUGAACUUGCAAGCCCGACAGGAAAUCGCUUGAAUACCUGGACGUGUCACCUCACACCCCUCACAAUACCUUUGGAAGUAAUACCUUUAGCCAUGCUGGUGAUCAGAUGAGGGAAGAUCAGAAUUUAUUUGAAAAAAGUUUAUUACUUUAAAGAAUUAUGAACAAAUUAGAUUUUCGAAAACAAUUUUCACGGAAC
rnacentral:lncRNA from 1 species